GCUCCUACGGGAGGCAGCAGUGGGGGAUAUUGGACAAUGGGGGAAACCCUGAUCCAGCGAUGCCGCGUGAGGGAAGAAGGUUUUCGGAUUGUAAACCUCUGUGGAGGGGGACGAUAAUGACGGUACCCCUUUAGGAGGCCACGGCGAACUACGUGCCAGCAGCCGCGGGAAUACGUAGGGGGCGAGCGUUGUCCGGAAUUACUGGGUGUAAAGUGAGUGUAGGCGGGAAAGCAAGUCAGAAGUGAAAACUAUGGGCUUAACCCAUAGCCUGCUUUU
rnacentral:rRNA from 1 species